CCUCCUUUCUAAGGAAAUCGAAAAAUAUUAAAACAAUUAUUUUCGAUUUAAAAAAAACGGUAAUGUGACUGUCCUCAUUUCUCUUCUUUUAAUGUCUCUGAGUAUAAAUUAAGGGGCCGGUAGCUCAGUUGGUUAGAGCGCACCCCUGAUAAGGGUGAGGUCGGAAGUUCGAAUCUUCCUCGGCCCACCAAUAUUGUGGGGGAUUAGCUCAGCUGGGAGAGCGCCUGAUUUGCAUUCAGGAGGUCAGCGGUUCGAUCCCGCUAUCCUCCACCAAAAUUUGAGACAUUUAGCUUUUUUAAAUCGUAAAUAUUAUUAAUAUCAAUAUCUAUAUCCGAUUGUUUUCAGAUAUUUUUUUGGAAACAAUCAAAACAAAAAUUUAAUUUAUUGCAGAAAAAGUUUUUUUCUGUGCAUAAAUCAAGCGUUUAAGGGCGAUUGGCGGAUGCCUUGGCACUGUAAGACGA
rnacentral:tRNA from 1 species